AUAGAUUAAGUUAUUAAGGGCGCACGGUGGAUGCCUUGGCACUAGAAGCCGAUGAAGGACGUUACUAACGACGAUAUGCUUUGGGUAGCUGUAAGUAAGCGUUAAUCCAGAGAUUUCCGAAUGGGGGAACCCAGCAUGAGUUAUGUCAUGUUAUCGACAUGUGAAUUCAUAGCAUGUCAGAAGGCAGACCCGGAGAACUGAAACAUCUUAGUACCCGGAGGAAGAGAAAGAAAAAUCGAUUCCCUGAGUAGCGGCGAGCGAAACGGGAAGAGCCCAAACCAACAAGCUUGCUUGUUGGGGUUGUAGGACACUCUAUACGGAGUUACAAAAGAACAUGUUAGACGAAUCAUCUGGAAAGAUGAAUCAAAGAAGGUAAUAAUCCUGUAGUCGAAAACAUAUUCUCUCUU
rnacentral:rRNA from 1 species